GACGAACGCUGGCGGCGUGCCUAAUACAUGCAAGUUGAGCGCUGAAGGUUGGUACUUGUACCAACUGGAUGAGCAGCGAACGGGUGAGUAACGCGUGGGGAAUCUGCCUUUGAGCGGGGGACAACAUUUGGAAACGAAUGCUAAUACCGCAUAAAAACUUUAAACACAAGUUUUAAGUUUGAAAGAUGCAAUUGCAUCACUCAAAGAUGAUCCCGCGUUGUAUUAGCUAGUUGGUGAGGUAAAGGCUCACCAAGGCGAUGAUACAUAGCCGACCUGAGAGGGUGAUCGGCCACAUUGGGACUGAGACACGGCCCAAACUCCUACGGGAGGCAGCAGUAGGGAAUCUUCGGCAAUGGACGAAAGUCUGACCGAGCAACGCCGCGGGAGUGAAGAAGGUUUUCGGAUCGUAAAACUCUGUUGGUAGAGAAGAACGUUGGUGAGAGUGGAAAGCUCAUUAAGUGACGGUAACUACCCAGAAAGGGACGGCUAACUACGUG
rnacentral:rRNA from 1 species